UUCUUGCAUAGGUAGAUCCUACCAACUUCAUCUCUUCCUUUUUGUCUAUUCUGUGACUACCACCAUGCCUCUACCACAGUGUAAUCCACUUGUAGCUCAGCAGGCCCUAGUUGAUAAAAUUGAGGCUUUUUUGCCCUUGUUAAAUGAGUGAAACUCAUUUGACACCACCAUUUCAAAUGAGCAUUGGUAGUCUUUCCAAAAGAGGAAUUCUGGCCCCCUCUGGACAUCAAGUUAAACAGGAGCUUCUUCUCCAGCAGCUGCCAGAGAACUCUUCAUGCCAGCCCCAGGCCUAGCGGUUAGAUCUGCCCAGGCAGAACCCUGCAUCCUUCUGGUCAGCUGACUGGGGAUAGGUAAUAGGGGUGUUGGUCUAAGGACAUGGGACUGGCAGACAAAGUUGGUCAUAUUGGCCCCACUGUCAGUGACCAUGAACCCACAGGUGAGCUCACCCUGCCCAAUGAGCCACCCCUGCAACAAGCAGUUCAUGGCCCCCAUGGUCUCUGUUGCCAUGUGAAACUCAUCCAUCACCUUGGCUUCAAGGAGAGCCUACCAACGGCCUGACUGGUUGCACUAGUGCCCUGUGAGGGAGAGGUAGGUGUGAUCUCCACCCUGGCUGCUCCAGAUGUCUGAGGUGAAGUGUAAGGCCACCUGUAGACCUGCCUUGUGCAGCUCCUUCCUCAAGUACUCCCUGCAUGCCUCAUACAAGGGGGGCACCACCGUCCUGCUGAAGGUGGUGCAUGCGGGCACUUGGUAGAAUGGGGCCACGAAUGCCAUGAGCAAUCUGAACCCUGGCCAGUCAGCUAAGGAGAAGGGCUGGCUAUCCACAGCAAGCAUCUCCCCAAUGCUGUGGGUGAUUUUGCUCACCUUUGCAACCCCCUUUCUGUCUGCCUUUUCCCCCACUGUUCCAGGAUGGCUGCCCUCUGCUUUGUGAGGACAGGGGCUUUGGAGUGAGAGGGGGACUUCCCUUUGGGCAUGCUCCCACUGGUGCCAGGCUGAGGAGGAGCAAGGGCAAAGGGGUGGUGCCUGCAGAGAUGCAUCUGUAUCCCCGUGGUGCUCAUGUGUUUUGUUCCCUUGCUUCAGCUGGUUUUGGCUCAGCACUGCAGGCAGAUAGCAUAUGUGGGAUCAUCUGCCAGCUCAAAAUGAUCCCAGACCACACUACCCUCUUGCUUCUGGGGUGCAGGUGCAUGUGUGGAUGCUGCAAUUUCCCCCUCCUCAGCACGCAGAGGCACAGCAACAGGAGGAGUGGACUCAGCUGAGCUACUUGCCUGCACAACCUCUACCUCAGCCUCUUCUGAAGUGCCUUCUGGGGAAAGAGACCUGGGUCUAGGGAAAACUUGAGGGGUGUGGAGCACAAACUCAGAUGAUUCUACCUCCUUCUCCAGAAUUUUCCUUGCUAUGGCAUUCAGAUCCAGAUCCAGCUUUUCCUCUGGCACUGGAAGGCUCUGCAUGGGAAGUGAAAUGGAGGUGGAGGAGACUGUCAUGAUGGUGCAGCUGCUUCUGCUUGUUGUU